AGCAGCCGCGGUAAUUCCAGCUCCAAUAGCGUAUAUUAAAGUUGCUGCAGUUAAAAAGCUCGUAGUUGAAUUUCGGGAUCAAUAUGUUGGUCGUGCCUCGGUACGUACUAGCUUAUUGGUUUCUCCCUUCUGACGAACCAUGAUGUCAUUUAUUUGGUGUUAUGAGGAAUCAGGACUGUUACUUUGAAAAAUUAGAGUGUUUAAAGCAGGCUCACGCUUGAAUACAUUAGCAUGGAAUAAUGAAAUAGGACGUUUGAUUCUAUUUUGUUGGUUUCUAGGAUCGACGUAAUGAUUAAUAGGGAUAGUUGGGGGCAUUAGUAUUCAAUUGUCAGAGGUGAAAUUCUUGGAUUUAUUGAAGACUAACUACUGCGAAAGCAUUUGCCAAGGAUGUUUUCAUUAAUCAAGAACGAAAGUUAGGGGAUCGAAGACGAUCAGAUACCGUCGUAGUCUUAACCAUAAACUAUGCCGACUA
rnacentral:rRNA from 1 species